rnacentral:ncRNA from 1 species
UGUUGGACGCAACGUUAGGGAGUGACUGAAUAAUCUUUCUGGCAAACGCUGGAUAAGGUGAUGAGACACAGGUGGUGCUGCACCGAGAGGUGAAUCGACUUACCAGUCGGGUCUCAGGCAAGGACGUAAAAUUUACUACUGUAGUAAUGCCCGUUCUUUGUUGGUAUACAGGAAUCCAACCUCCCCCCUU